CAUCCAAUAAUCUCUAUGCUUUCUCAAUUUUGUCUAUUUUUAUUUUAUUUAUAUUGCUUGUUUGAUUCAAAUUCUUUUUUUGCUCAAUUUCGUUUGUUUGAUUUCACUAAUCUCUAUUUUCACUCAAUUUCUCCUAAUGACUUUUAUCGGAAUGUUGACCAAAAUACUGAUGUGGAUGUAGCUGUAUUUAAAACCGCUGGAAACGAUAUGUUUAUAUGUAUAGUGAGGUGUUGUGCUUGGAAAAGUAUAAGAUGUAAUUUUUCUGGGUAGCUAGCGCGGGAUGUUGUUGAAGGUCUUCUCGGUGUUACUUUUGCAUAGCUUAUAAUGAUCCUUCAAUCUUGGUCAUGACAACAAGUUGCCAUUCCAAUAGUUUAGGCUUCUGGAUUCUUGACACGUUUGAAAAAUUUGUAUCGCUGAGCAUCGUGCUUGUUUGUCCAGAAGUACUACCUUUUUUUCCUUGUUUUUCUCGUAUAGCUUACUGUUUGAGGCCUGCUAGUGAGAAUAGAGUUCAGCAACUGCAUUUUCUUUUUGUGCUUCUGCUUUCUUCUGACUCUUGAAUAGUGUGCAGAUUUAGCAUCUUUCUACCUCUUGUAUAAUUUUGAGUUUGCAUCUUGAACCUGUGUUAAUUAAAAGGUCAUUGUGAUUUAAUGUUCAUUGUCAUUCCUAUAUACAUAAUCCCCAUGAUCUUUAAAUAUAAACUCAGAUGAUACAAGUCACUAGUUUGUUUUAUUAUCUACUAGAAUUUCUUGGCUGAUCGGUUUCUGGUUCAUCUGUUCAGAUGAAGAUAUUUGUUUGUGAAAACUAAUUAAUAAAAGAAUAAUGAAAGUGAAACAUAAUUUAAUAUAAGUAUCACGCAAGCUAGCUUACAAGUUCGUGUAUCUGCUUAUGCAAAAGGAACUACUCUACUUAGCAGAUUGGGGGUAUAAGGAACUACUAUUUUUUUUCAUUGUAGACUAUAGGGUAUUGUCAUAAGAAGAUGCAUUGUAACAAUGAUUGUUUAUACUUGCCGUCUAAUGAGUUCAAGGAGUUUUUUUAUCUGUAAUUGUGUUUGAGUGAACCCAAGCUUGAUCUGUGAUGAAGAACUAUGAAAAAAGUAAUUAAAAUCGGCGUAAGGUGAUUCUUUUUUACCUAGCACCUCUGUCCUCCUUGCUCGAUUCCAAAUCUUAUAUACAUAGAUGAGUUAAGUACCAUCAUUGAGAUCAAAGAGGUAAUUAUUAUCCAUUCCCAUAUCCUGCUCCCAUGGGAAACUGGUGUAUCUGUUCAUAAGAAAGUCAAAAUUAUUAGUUGUUUUGUACUCAUAAAAAUUAGGCUUCAGCUCUGUUCUGUUAAGGAAUUUGUAGAGGUAUUUGCUUUUUCUGUUAAUAUAAUGUUAAAGAUUUUGAAAUGAGAACAACUAGAUGCAUGCAGGUUAGUUUUGUCUUUUGCUAGAUUGUAUAUCUUGAAAAAAAAGGAAUGACAAAUCUGCAUGAACCACUUAAUUAAGUACUAAAAUGGGAAUCCUAUUAGUUAACGUUUAUGAACCAGUUAACUGUAUAAUUAAGGCACUGACACACUUAUCAUAUCACAAGUAAGCAAUCAUGUUUUACCUAGUUUUUUGUUUGAUAUCCAUAUAAAAAUGUCAUUCCCAGAUUUUUUGUGAACGUCUCAUAUCAAGUAACUCCCCCUACCAAACAAGGUACUUGCUGCCAUUUCUGUUUAUAUUGAUGUUAGUAUAAGCCAUACAUAAUUUUUCCUUCAAGCACUUCUUUACACACUCCUCGAGAUACAACAUUCCCCAGUAAGUUGAAUUAUCAGGCAAUUUCUGUUCAGUAUUCUUCACAAACACUUCUUUAUCAGUAUAAUUAAGUGGUGUGAUUCUUCUACAUCCUUUGGUAAAAUCCUUCUUAUUUCACUGAUCUCAUGAAGUAGCUGUGAAACCAUCAGUACACCAAUAGUAUCUAUCUUCACUAAUAGAAACUCUAUCAGUACCACAAGUCCUAUAAUGGUCACAUAUAUCUUUAUGUAGUAUCUUCACUACAACACAGUGAUUGGUAGCUUUAUUUCAUUUCAGGAACUCUAUCUUUCCCUCUAGAUUUAGUGUGAGUUUCAAACUCAAGUUAUUCUUGGCUUUGAAUAUGAAAUAAAAUGCAUCAGCAUUGGAAUUAAAUAUUGGUCUCAAGUAGUCAUUUUCGUUGAGGGAAUCAUCGCCAUUGAACUUUUUUUUAUCCUAAGGAUCCCAUCUUGAAACUUUUUGUUGUUUUUUCUCAAGAACUAGUUGGGGUGACUGACCUGAGUCACCUGAGUAUAACCUGAACAAAUAAUCACCUAGAGUUGGAUCAACACUUCCCCUCCAGACCUCAUGGAUCGGUCAAUACCAGUUAUCUGGUCCCAACCAAGCUUCAUUCCUUGUAAUAAUGUGUCGACAGGGUAAGAUAACCUUUACCACAGGUACUCACCAGCCAACAGAUUUCUAGAAUCUCCAAGCACAAGAUUACCUAAAUCCAAGAGCUUCAGAACUGGUAUGGAACAAUCUGGUUUGGAUUAUAAAUUGAUAAGGUUGUUCCUAUAAAAUUUUGGAGAAAAAUUCAUCCUUUUUGUUAAACUUAAGAAUUGCACCAAGUCCAGCUGGAUUCCUUCUAUUGCGAACCAUUCUAUACUGGGUCCUUCAUUCUUGUACCGCAAUAAUAGGUACUGGUUCCCAUAUAGUUCAUUUGGACCAAAAAAUCCUAAUUGAAAUCUUUGGUUCGACGAAACAAAAGUCUCGUCGUACUAGAGGACUUGAUUUGGAAACACGGUAUCAUUAGCAGCAACGACACCAACAUAUGCAAUUAUAGAUAUAAAUAGUAGCCAAUAAAGUAUAACGACCAUUUCUUUCUUGCCCAAAUAGGUGAUUAUUAAGGCAAUCAAUGUUUCAAUUUAAGCCCAACUUUUUGCUUAGGCUUAAGUUACAGAGCUUAGUGAACACUAAAGAAGAAAUUGGCAAAACUUGAAACUACAUAACUUAAUGAAUACUAAAGAAGAAAUUGAUAGUUUAGUUUCAUUUGAGGCAACUAUACUAAUGUACAAAGAAUUAAUGCACUAUUCUAGACUUAUUUUAAAGGUAUUGGAGGGGUAGAAAUAGAAUGAAACAGCAUGAUUAUCAAUGGUAGAAAGAGUAGCUGUUGUAUCCAUUGGCAUGCUCUAUUACUUCUCAGCCUUGGGAUAUUUUAAUUUGGAUUGGGCUUUAAUGGUAGAAAGAGUAGCUGUGGUGUUAUUUGAAGAAAAUAUGGUAGAUUCUCACCCUAUAAAUGGAAUAGUACAUGAUAACAUACCUAUUCCUUUGGUAAGCAUGGUUGUAGCAUCAUUGGCUUUUGCUUAGUUGAAUGUUCUCAUCUCCCGAAAGUAUGCUGUAAUGUCAUCCUUUUAUUGAUAAAAUUGGUAGUGCAAGGUGGUGAUUUCUAAUUUAUCUUCUUUUGAUUCUCUUAUGUGUAUCCUCAAGUGGUUUAAUCAUUCCUAAGUGUGUCAACUAAAAAAGACAACACAGCUUCACUUCUUGUGUGGGUGUCAUUUGUUUCUACAACUUGUUAAUAAAAGGAAACUUUUUUUGUAAAGACGUGCGUUAUUGUUUUUAUAGGUUAUUAGUUGUUAGCUAAUUCUUCUACUGAGGUCCUUAAUGAUAACUUUAUCAGGUAGGUUACUAGUGAUGCUGAUAAGCAUCCUUGCACAUAAUUUUUUAUCAUUUAAUUUUUCUCAAUCUAAUAUUUUAUGUAUUUUACAAGGUUAUGGAACCUAGUAAGCAAGGGAUGUAACUUAUUAAUGACCAGGAUAGUGAAAUCUACAAAAAUAGGGUGAAUUUUUUUUUUGAAUUAUGCUUUUUGAAAAACAGGAGAAGAACGUAAAAUACGAUGUCCAUGUAACAAAUGUUGCAAUACUACUUUAGGAACUCGUACAAAAAUUGAGACACUUUUACAAGUACAUGAAAUACUUCAGAAUUAUACUUUCUGGUUUCACCAUGGAGAACGCUUGGGUGAACCGUUAACUGAAUCCGAAUCUAAAGAUGAAUAUGAUGAUGAAGUGGAAAAAUAUGAGAGUGGAGAUAAAGUAGAAGAAUUAUUGAGAUAUUUGUAUCCUAAUAUUGAUGGUGGACCUAUGCACACUAAUUGUGUUGAGGGGGAGCCAAAUGUUAUAGCACAACAAUUUUAAAAACUAUUGAACGAUUUUGAGCGGCCACUGUAUCAAAAUUCAAAAAUGUCAAAGCUUUCCACUUUGAUUAAAUUGCUUCUCAUCAAAAGUAUGGGCCAUUGGAGUAAUGCAUCAUUUACAAUAUUAUUGAAAAUGUUGUAAGAAGAGUUGUUUCCUGAUGGUGCCGAUUUGCCAAACUCACAUUAUGAGGCAAAGAAAAUAAUUCGCAAACUCAGACUUUCUUACAAUAAGAUAGAUGCUUGCACUAAUGAUUGCAUAUUAUACUGGAAGGAAGAUAGCUCACUCAAUUCUUGGAAAGUUUAUGGUAUGUCUAGAUGGAAAAUAGAUACCCAUAGUGGAGAAAUAAGGAACAAAAAAGGUAAAAAGAUAGCAACAAAGAGUUUACGCUAGUUUUCCUCAAAGCCUAAACUUCAAAGGUUGUUUAUGUAUUCAAAGACAUCUACUCUAAUGACAUGACAUAAGGAUAAAAGAGUUGAUGAUGGGAUAAUGAGGCACCCAACCGAUUCAAUGGCAUGGAAUUUACUUGAUGAACAUUAUCCUUCACUUGCUGCCGAGCCCCUUAAUGUUAGACUUGGACUUUCUAUUGAUGGAUUUCAGCCAUUUCAAAAUUCAAAAACCUCACAUAGCAUUUGGCCUGUGGUUCUUAUUCCUUAUAAUUUACCAUCUUAGUUGUGUAUGAAACAAGAUAACUUUAUUUUGUCAAUGCUUAUUCCUGGUCCAAAUGGUCCAUAAGAUGCAAUUGAUAUAUAUCUUCAGCCUUUGAUUGAGGAAUUGAAUGAGUUAUGGAAAAUAGGUGUUGAUACCUAUGAUGCAUUAACUAAACAAAAUUUUAUGUUGCAUGCAUCUUUGUUAUAGAUCAUCAAUGACUUUCCAGCAUAUAAAAAUUUAUCUAGAUGGAGUACCAAAGGAAAAUUGGUAUGUCAAAGAUACUUCCUCAAUUCGAUUGGCUAACAAUAAGUAGUAGUGUUUUAUGGGUCAUCGGUGUUACAUUCCUCUUAGUCACAAAUGGAGAUAUGAGAAGAAGCGCUUUCAUGAUACAGAAGAGAAAAAUCUACCACCAAAAAAUCAUUCUAGUACAGAGAUACUUAAUCAAGUACAAUAUCUUAAAGGUCAAUAAUUAUCAAGAGAUCCAAAGAAAAGGAAGAGCAUAUCACAUAAAGUUCAAACAGAUAGCUGGAACAAGAAAAGUAUCUUUUUUAAACUUCCAUAAUGGGAGUAUCUCUUAUUGCGACAUAAUUUGGAUAUUAUGCAUAUUGAAAAAAUAUAUGUGAGGAUUGUAUGGGGACAUUUAUGAAUGUCAAAUGAAAGACCAAGGAUACAAUUAACACUCGAUUAGACUUGCAAGAGAUGAACAUUAGGCCUGAAUUUUACCUCAUCCAAAAGGGGGAGAAAGUUGAAAUUCUAACUGCAUGCUACACAUUGCCUCCUGAAGAUAAGCACAAAUUUUGUCUUUUCUUAAAGAAUCUGAAAGUGCCUAAUGGUUUUUCAUCUAAUAUAUCUCAAUGUGUGAACUUAAAAGAUAACAAGAUAUCUGGGUUGAAAAGUCAUGAUUGUCAUAUUCUUCUACAACAUCUACUCCCUCUUGCACUUCGUGGUAUGUUGUCCAAAGAAGUGUAUGAGCCACUUAUUGAGUUAUCUUAUUUUCUUAGUGUGCUUGUAUCCAAGGAGUUGAGAAUAGAUGAUUUGGAACAUAUUGAAGUGCAAAUUCCCAUAACACUUUGCAAGUUAGAAAAGGUCUUUCCUCCUUCAUUUUUUGAUGUCAUGGUGCACUUGCCUAUUCAUUUAGCUACUAAAGCUAAGAUUACCGAGCCUAUUCAUUAUAGGUGGAUGUAUCCUGUGGAACGAUGGUUGUAUUUUUUAAAAUCUCUCAUUGGUAAUAAGGCAUGCCCUGAAGGUUCUAUUGCAGAGGGCUACAUUGCGAAUGAGUGUAUGACCUUGUGUUCAAAGUACUUCCAUAGAAUUGACACAAAAUUCAACCGACCGGAAAGAAAUUAUGAUGGGGGUUUAAAAGAAUCUGAUGGAGGUUUAUCUGUAUUUUAUCAACCUGGAAAAACUUUGAGAGCUAAAGAUCUAUGUGUGAUUGAUACCGAUGAAUUGGAACAAGCACAUAUCUACAUAUUAAAGAAUUGUGAUGAAUUCUUACCGUAUAUAAAGUAUGGGAAGAACUCAUUUAGUCUCAUUUUUCUUAUUUCCUUCAUGGUAAUUUCCUUUUGAUAUGAGAUUUAUGAUUCACUUUAAUUUUGUAGAGAAUUUGCGCAAACUCAUAAGGAUACUAUCAGACACUUGUCUGAUGCAAAAUGGAACCAACAAUUUAUUAAAUGGUUAAAAGAUAGGGUAAGUAAUAUAUAACCAUCAAAUUUAAAAUUUUAGUAUUGUAUUACUCAUUCUAAAGUAUUCAGUGCAAUCUUAUUCAUAGGUCGCACAAUUGCAUAAAAGAGAUGAUCGUCGGAUCAUGGAAGAUUUGCUCUCAUUUUCACGCGGUCCUACCAAAUAUUCGACACAUUGCAAUAGUUAUAUUGUUAAUGGAUAUAGAUUUCAUGUAGAAGAUUAUGAUAAAAAGUUAAGAACUCAGAAUUGUGGUGUUGUUGUAGUUGGGGAUAAUGGUACUCCUGGUGAUAACGUUGAUUACUAUGGAGUUUUAACAGAGGUUAUUGAGUUGCAAUUUGUAUCAAAUAAAAGAGUGAUCUUAUUUUGAUGCAAGUGGUUUGAUGUGUAUGAUGAAAUAAAUGGAGUCAAAAAAGAUGAGUACGACUUCGUGAGUGUUAAUCCAGGUAGAUUUUUGAAAACAAAUGAGUCAUUUGUUUUAGCGAACCAAGCAUCUCAAGUUUUUUAUAUCAAUGAUAAUUCCAACAAAAGUUGGCAAGUAGUGAGGAAGACUCAACCUCGUGAUUUGUAUGAGACAUUGGAAAAAGUGGAUGAUAGUAUUGAAAUGGAUAAUGAUGAUGUAGAGUUAGAAAGUACGGCACAAAAAAAGAAAAAGAACUAAUGAGGUAAUGUUUUGGUUAUCUAAAAUAAUAAUUAUAGUGUUAGACAUUCUUAUGACAUGCAUGAUGAUUUCCUGUAUUACUAUAUCGUCCCACAUUUUUUUCAUAUUCUUUUUUUCAGUUUUAUUUCUUUUACAAGUUCAAGAUGAAACAAUUAAAGGUUGAAAAUGUGGUCGGAUCUACUGAAAAGAGUACUAUGUAUACAUUUAUUAUGACUGGUGUUAUAGGAAAAGGACGAGGGAGAGGGCUUAGAUAUUUGGCUGAUAAAGAUAAUAUGUCAACUAAGAGUCUAUUUCCUCAAUCUAGUAAUGUUGUCAAGCAAUACCUCCAAUAUGUUGAAACAGGUUCUAUAGGGAUGGGUCGAGGACAAGGGCUUAAAUACUCCAUCAUGUCUUUUAGUCAAGGAAUGGAAACCAUUGGUAAGAAAUACACUCAAGAAUUUGAAACAUGUUCUAUGGGAAAGGGACUAGAGCAAAAACCUAUAUCUUUGAGCUCCUCUUUAGGGUUUUUAUGAAAAAAAAGAUGGAAUUUUUAAAAAAUAGAAUUUUUAAAAAAUAGCACCCUCUGUGCUAACCAACAUGUGCGAACUCCAUUUAAAAUAACAAGUUCAAGUUCUACCAUGCCUUCUAGUCAAGAAAUGCGAAGAAUUGAUAAAUAUUCCUUGAUUCUUGAGAAAGAGGAUAUGCAAGCCAAUAUUUCAUUGCCUCCGUCUGUUGAUCAAGUCACGCAACAUUCUCAAAAUGUUGAAAAAGGGGUUUCUGGAAAUAAGUGGAAUCUUUCAGCAAGAGCAUCCUGAAUGCUAACCAACAUGUGCGAACUCCAUCUAAAGUCACAAGUUCAAUUUCUACCAUGCAUUCUAGUCAAGUAAUGCAAAGAAUGGAUAAAGAUCCCUUGGUUCUUGAGAAAUAGAAUACGCAAGCUAAUAUUUCAUUGCCUUCAUCUAUUGAUCAAGUCAUGGAACACUCUCAAAAUAUUGAAAAAAGGUUCAUCUAAUCGUGAAAAGGUGAAAAGAGUUCGAGGUUGCAAUAAGUGCAAAGAAGCUGCUUCACUUGAAAUCAGAGAAAACUGAAAUUAACCUUUUACAAUAAUUGAACAGUUCAAAAAAAAUGACAAACUAUUUUUGAGGCAUUUGGGAAAAAUUAUUCAUGAUUCCAGUAUCUGUCCGCUGGGAGUAUCGUCAAGGAGUGAUUUAGCCAAGAAAAAUUGAAUCACAUGUGGGCAACUGUUGAGGAUAAAUUUGACGGUGUUGAACUGAGUGAUUAUCGUGAACAUAUUUUGAGAUGGAUGAAUGAGUUAUGGAACAAAUGGAGAGGAUACUUAUAUAGAGCAUAUGUGAAUAAUAAGUCACUUCAACAAGCUCUGAAGAACAAGCCAAAUGGAAUAGACAAGAAAGAAUGGGAGUGGUUGGUAAAAGAACAUCUUUCUUCUGAAGCUUUUCAGGAGAAAAGCAAAAGGAAUACAGUGAAUCGAGCUAAGUUGACGCAAGAUUAUUCGAGAUAUUAUUUUUGAAAAGGGGAGGGGGGAGAUGGCAAUCCACCAGAUUUGGGGACUAUUUACUAUAAGAGUCAAAAGAAAGAUAACAAGCAUAACAAGCUCAUUGAACCUGAAGUAAUUCAAAAAUAUGCUCGAAUAGAAGAAAUAGUGAAUACAGAGCCAUAUUUAUCUAGCAUAGAGAUUGUUAAAAAGUUUUUUGGACCUCAAAAUUAUAGCCAUGUAAUUUCCUUUAGGGGUGGAGUAAAGGCGAAAGACUUAAAAUGUGGCACUUCCUCCAAGGCUGAAUUAUUGUCCACACUACGUUCUACUCAAGAGGAAAACAAAUACUUGAAUGAGGAAAAAAAGUCAUUGAAUGAUCGCCUGUCUACCUUAGAAGAUGAGAUGAAAGAAAUUAGAAAAAUGAAAGAAUUCUUUGCUACUCAACAACAAGAAGUCAGGGCUACAACAUCGCCAAUUUCAAAUGAAUGACCAUUGCCUUAUGAUCUCCAAGAGUUUCUUGAUUUAGGUGAAGCAGUAGGCACUGAAAGUGGAGGACUUUAAUUUUUUUUGGCCGUAUGAUAGAAGUUGGUGAUUUGAACUAAAAGUCAAGGACUUAAACAGUAGAAAUAGGAGUUACUUGAUUAUAUUUUUGCCAUGUAUUCAAAUUUUAUGGAAAAUUUGAUAUCAUACUUAGCUUGAUCGGGAUGGUAACUAUGUUUUUUGUGAAAUAAAUAUUGAAAUUAAUAUCAUGGGAUGUUAACUUAGUUUUUUGGUCUCUAAUUAUAUCAUGUUUUU